UAACAGACAUACACUGCAGACACACACACAUUCACUGACAGACACACUCACUAUUAGUGAGUGUGUCUGUCAGUGAAUGUGUGUGUGUCUGCAGUGUAUGUCUGAGUG